rnacentral:tRNA from 1 species
UCCUCAGUAGCUCAGCGGUAGAGCGAUCGGCUGUUAACCGAUUGGUCGUAGGUUCAAUCCCUACCUGGGGAG